rnacentral:misc_RNA from 1 species
AAGUCGUAACAAGGUUUCUGUAGGUGAACCUGCAGAAGGAUCAUUAGUGAAGAUUCAAGGGCCAGCCAUACAGACGUACAAUAAGUGUGUCUCUGGCGGCUCGUAUCCACUAUACAUCCAUAAACCCGUGUGCACUGUUAAGGAGUAAGAAAGAAGGGGAGGGAGAGAGUGUGCAUGUGCUUUGCAUAUAACUCUCUCUCUUUCUCUUCCUUUCUCUCUCUGGUUAAUUACACAAACUCGUAUGGAUUUGUAUGAACGUGAGAUAUAUCGUUGGACCGUCACUGGCCAACAAAUAUAACACAACUUUCGACAACGGAUCUCUUGGUUCUCC